rnacentral:rRNA from 1 species
AGGACGAACGCUGGCGGCGUGCUUAACACAUGCAAGUCGAGCGGAAAGGCCCUUCGGGGUACUCGAGCGGCGAACGGGUGAGUAACACGUGAGUAACCUGCCCCUAGCUCUGGGAUAGCUCCGGGAAACCGGGAUUAAUACCAGAUACGACCACUUUAGACAUCUGUCGUGGUGGAAAGGAUUCCGGCUAGGGAUGGGCUCGCGGCCUAUCAGCUUGUUGGUGGGGUAACGGCCUACCAAGGCGACGACGGGUAGCCGGCCUGAGAGGGCGACCGGCCACACUGGGACUGAGACACGGCCCAGACUCUUACGGGAGGCAGCAGUGGGGAAUAUUGCGCAAUGGGCGAAAGCCUGACGCAGCGACGCCGCGUGGGGGAUGAAGGCCUUCGGGUUGUAAACCGCUUUCACCAGGGCGGAAGCGAGAGUGACGGUACCUGGGGAAGAAGGCGCCGGCUAACUACGUGCCAGCAGCCGC